UGCCAGCCGCCGCGGUAAUACGAACCGUCCAAACGUUAUUCGGAAUUAUUGGGCUUAAAGGGUGCGUAGGCGGUGCGGUAAGUUGGGUGUGAAAUCCCUCGGCUCAACCGAGGAACUGCGCCCAAUACUGUCGUACUUGAGGGAGACAGAGGUAAGCGGAACUGAUGGUGGAGCGGUGAAAUGCGUUGAUAUCAUCAGGAACACCGGUGGCGAAAGCGGCUUACUGGGUCUUUUCUGACGCUGAGGCACGAAAGCUAGGGUAGCGAACGGGAUUAGAUA
rnacentral:rRNA from 1 species